CUCAGGUCAAUCAAGCAGACAGCCGCAGACCUGAGGGAAGCUGGGAACAUCUCAACUCCAAGAAUGAGUUACUUAGAGGAAUAAUGUUCUCAAGGCAGGAGAAGAGUUUCUUCCAAGACAUUGGCUCACUGAGACAGAGGUCAAUCAAGCAGACAGCCGCAGACCUGAGGGAAGCUGGGAACAUCUCAUCUCCAAGAAUGAGAGUUACUUAUGAGCACAUAGGAAAAAACAGGGUGCCUGGCCUCGGUUUUCUUCUCUGAAAAAUGGGUGCACCUGUGCCCACCUCGGGAGAGUGAUGGUCUGAGGAUUGAUCCCAGGCCGGGUGUGAAGAGCGGCGAGGCCUGUGCGCACAGCG